UAAAAGAUAAAGGAGUGGUACAAUUCAUAAAUUAAUUAAACUAGUUUGAAAAUAAUGCAAUUUGUGCCAUUGAUAAUAAAAUAUUAAAAAAAUGUAUAACUACUAAUCAUUGUAAUGUAGAAAAAUACGACGAAAUAUGGUUGACAUAACCUUUCAAUGCACCUGGGGAAUGUUACCUUUUCACGCAAAUGAAAUGCAGUAUCAUCAACUAAAGAGAAAAAAAAUAACAUUGUUUUGUGUCUGAAAGCAGAAAUAGGUGCAGGCUGACCACGAACGCCAUUUCUACUCAGACAAAAUGGUUUCAAAGUUCGUGAUGAGCACCGCUUGUUCAAGGAUUGUAGUGUCUCUAGGAACCAGUAGAUAGCUGCAGACAUGACAAAUGCAAGUAUCUUUUUGUCUCCGAAUUCGGAAGGAAAUCUUGCCCUCCGCCCAAAAACAACUUCGUGAGGAGUCAUGCCAGUGGAUUCGUGAACAGAAGUAUUAAAGGACAAAAUGGCAAACGGAAGCCAUUGGUCCCAGUUACUCCGCUCACUGUAAUUACGUUCGAGAGUUUAAUUAUGGAAUGGUUUAGCAAUUCCCUACCCAGGGGUGUAGUAAGCACCCCAUCGCAUGACAUGAAAUUCAAGAUAUUAUCAUCUCUCAUCCAAAGUUUAUCUCGACUCAACUGAAAUAACGGAUUAAAACGUCAUCAUCAGAAUUUUCAGCAAAAAACUCAACAUCGGUACUUCCUUGAAGACAGGUGCCCAUAGGAUGCAACCUUCUUCUAAACUCAACAUCCGUAGUUCCUUGAAGACAGGUGCCCAUAGGACGCAACCUUCUUCUUGGGGACAGGAUUCCACAGUAAGCGGUACCUUCCCCACUCGGAAUGGAAGAUCCGACGCCAAAACUGGCCAUCUCUCUCCCCCUUCCGUUGUGGUCUAAUAAAAGCUCUGCGGGUACGUUCUCACCUUCCGCGUGGCCAGCUGGUCCACCAAAUACCCCCUCUGGAAGACAGGUGCCCAUAGGACGCAACCUUCUUCCCGGGGACCAUGCCUUCUCCAUCAAGGACACCUCCCCUUGGGACCGGACACCACAGUAAGCGGUUCCUUCCCUUUGGGACAGGCAACCACAGUAAGCAGUUCCUUCCCUUCUCGAAAUGGAAGAGCAGAAGCCAAAGCUGGCCAUCUCUCUUCCCAUUCCGUCAGCCUCUUUUUCAUUCAAGCGCUUUCUUCCGGAGGUCCCAAAGCCCCGUGCCCUUACCGCACUUCCGUAAUCAGGUAGGAGAGGGGAGGUCUGUGUGCUCGUCUCACUGCCACCCGCACCCGGCGUUCCCCCAUGGCCAUUGAGUGACCCAGAAACAGGUGUAAUGCAGAGAACCGAAUUGCACCCCUCCGAAACUUGCGCAUCAGUUUCUGCCUCAUCUCCACCCUGGCGGGGCCCGGACCAGCCGGAGCUAGGCUGGGAUAUAGAGAUCACCACCUUCACACAAUCACUUGAACUUGGGGCUACAUUUCCCAUCGAGAUCAAAAUGUCUCCAACAUCUGAGACCGAACUGUCUCUACUUUUCUCAGCAAUUUCUUCAUUUACAUCUAUCUCAGCACUUUCUACCAUUUCAUUACAAAGGUUACCAUAAGUAACUUCCAUAUUAGAGUAACAAUAAUCAACAAAAGCUCUUUCUAUAGG